rnacentral:rRNA from 1 species
CUUCGGGAUGGAAGGAUAAGAACUUAGUGGCGGACGGGUGAGUAACGCGUGGGUAACCUGCCCUUUUGUGGGGAACAACUUCGAGAAAUCGGAGCUAAUACCGCAUAAUAAUAGAGGAUCGCAUGAUUCUUUAAGGAAAGAUGGCCUCUGAAGAUGCUAUCGCAAAAGGAUGGACCCGCGUCUGAUUAGCUAGUUGGAAGGGUAACGGCCUACCAAGGCAACGAUCAGUAGCCGGCCUGAGAGGGUGAACGGCCACAUUGGGACUGAGACACGGCCCAAACUCCUACGGGAGGCAGCAGUGGGGAAUCUUCCGCAAUGGGCGAAAGCCUGACGGAGCAAUGCCGCGUGAGUGAAGAAGGCCUUCGGGUUGUAAAACUCUGUCCUUAUCGAAGAGAGGUAGGUAUGUGAAUAAUGUACCUAUAGGACGGUAGAUAAGGAGGAAGCCCCGGCUAACUACGUGCCAGCAGCCGCGGUAAUACGUAGGGGGCGAGCGUUGUCCGGAAUCACUGGGCGUAAAGGGCGCGUAGGCGGUUUAAUAAGUCAGUGGUGAAAACUGAGGGCUCAACCCUCAGCCUGCCACUGAUACUGUUAGACUUGAGUAUGGAAGAGGAGAAUGGAAUUCCUAGUGUAGCGGUGAAAUGCGUAGAUAUUAGGAGGAACACCAGUGGCGAAGGCGAUUCUCUGGGCCAAGACUGACGCUGAGGCGCGAAAGCGUGNGGAGCAAACAGGAUUAGAUACCCUGGUAGUCC